UACAGAGGUGGCAAGCGUUGUUCGGAAUUACUGGGCGUAAAGGGCGCGUAGGCGGCCUUCUAAGUCAGACGUGAAAUCCCUCGGCUUAACCGGGGAACUGCGUCUGAUACUGGAUGGCUUGAGUUCGGGAGAGGGAUGCGGAAUUCCAGGUGUAGCGGUGAAAUGCGUAGAUAUCUGGAGGAACACCGGUGGCGAAGGCGGCAUCCUGGAUCGACACUGACACUGAGGAGCGAAAGCCAGGGGAGCAAACGGG
rnacentral:rRNA from 1 species